rnacentral:rRNA from 1 species
GACAGAGGGUGCAAACGUUGUUCGGAAUUACUGGGCGUAAAGCGCGUGUAGGCGGCUGGGCAAGUCGGAUGUGAAAGCCCUGGGCUCAACCCAGGAAGUGCACUCGAAACUGCCGAGCUGGAGUCCCGGAGAGGAAGGCGGAAUUCUCGGUGUAGAGGUGAAAUUCGUAGAUAUCGAGAGGAACACCUGUGGCGAAGGCGGCCUUCUGGACGGCGACUGACGCUGAGGCACGAAAGCGUGGGGAUCAAACAGG